AUGGGCUUCAGCAAGGCAUCUCGUGACUCCUCAUGUCAUCUCUGUGGCGGCUCCGCGAUUGCCUCCCUCCGUUGCCGAGACCAAGCUUCCUUCGCGACCGUAAGCCACGUUAUCUCCUAGCUCUCAAAGUCGUCGAUCUCACUUCCAAUUGCAGAAGAUCUCAAGCCGCGGCAGCCAAUCUCACUUCUAUUUUCGUCUGAAGGGUUGAUGGUUGACCGUCUCCGACUCUUCACUUCGUCGUCACCAUUUUGACUCUCUAUAAUUCGUCGUUACCGCGACCCACUUUGAUUAAUCAAUUAUCUUCUUUACUCCUUUCGUCUCCUUUUAUAUCAGAAUUAUGCUUUAUGGUUUGAAUCCAGUGGUUUAUUAUUUUUAUUUUUGUUUGUAAUUGUUUUCAGGAACCACUCAUUCCAGCCAGAAACAUCCGGAUACUCUGUUCACGUAGCUAUGUUCACAAGAAGUUGCUUAGCAGAGGAUGAUACUCUGAUCACGCAGCUAUUCGUAAAACGGAGAUAGUGAAAUUGAGGAGACAAUCAGAGAGAUGGAAGCAACAGAGAUGGAAGCAAUGAUGAAAUGAAAUAAUUUGAGCAAAAGGAUGCCGAGAAACAGCUGUGAAAUCGUUGCAGAGUAGACGACCAUAAUGCAAGAAGCUAUAUAACUUAAAGGAAACAAAAAAAUGUUUUACAUUUUUUUUAGGAUAAAUGGUCAUCCGUUUGAUGCAGAAAUGUUCUACUUGAGGCAUGUAUGCACAAAGUGACAGAAGAGUCAGAAAAACGUGGAGCAGUUUGGUCUGAAAAGUGGCCAGAGUAGAGAUUGUUCAUCAGUGGGUUGAAGACACAUAUGGAAAUCAGCACAAGAGGAUUUCACAGCAGACAUGAUUGUUUAAAAACUAUUGUUUCAGUCAUACUUCAAGGGUGUAGGAAUUGAUUGGUGGUAUGUGAGAAACGUUAUGGAUUGAGAGCUAUAUAUGGAGGUUUUAUUGCUGCAUUGAAGGAUCUGAGACAGUGAGACUCUGUGUGAUUAAUGUACUUUCCUCAAACUUACGACCUUCAUGAUGAUUCAUCAAUUCUCUGCACUGAAGAAGAGGUGCAGCUUGGUGUCUGUAAUGGUUGAAGUGGACCGAAUUCUUAGACCACAAGGAACAUUUAUAGUAAAUGAUGGCAUGGAAAAGAUAGGAGAAAUUGAGAAGAUGAUGGAAUCACUGAAAUGGAAUGUAAGAAUGACACAUUCCAGAUAUGGAGAAGGAGUGAUCUCUGUUCAGAAGUCAUGGUGGCGUCCAACAGAGGUCAAGACCAUUACAUCGGCCAUAGCAAGUGAAAGAGAAUUGGUUUAAUAUAGUUUAAUGAGAAUGUUUCUUUUAUGAUCACGUUGAUUGUUUACAUUGUAUUAGGCCAAUAUGUGUAUCAUUUUUUACAUUGACGAAAAUUGUAUACAAGACAUUGUCCCUAUAAUGUAAGCUUUUUAUAAGUUUUUUA